rnacentral:rRNA from 1 species
UACGGAGGGGGCUAGCGUUGUUCGGAAUUACUGGGCGUAAAGCGUGCGCAGGCGGUUCGCUGUGUCCUGUGUGAAAGCCCCGGGCUUAACCUGGGAAUGGCAUGGGAAACUGGCGGGCUGGAGUGUGGCAGAGGGGGGUGGAAUUCCGCGUGUAGCAGUGAAAUGCGUAGAGAUGCGGAGGAACACCGAUGGCGAAGGCAGCCCCCUGGGCUAACACUGACGCUGAGGAGCGAAAGCGUGGGGAGCGAACAGG